CACCUCUUCCCAUUCCGAACAGAGAAGUUAAGCUCACUUACGCCGAUGGUACUGCGGUUCUCCCGUGGGAGAGUAGGUAGCCGCCUCUU
rnacentral:rRNA from 1 species